CGGAAUCCGCUGCUUCCUCUGCCGGUCGGCCUGGGGCUGCCCCGCGGGGAGUGCGGCCGCGGAUCGCCGUGACCGGCCGGCGUGUUGCAAAGCGUGGAAUAUGCAAAAUUUUCUUAAGAUAGGCUGUUCUUCGUUGUGACCAUCUCCGAGGAGAAUGUGAUACCAGCUGCGGGCAGCCGACAGCAGGACAGCUGGAGGGGCAGUCAGCAGGGACAUUCCUCAAGGAAUGAGGGUUGUGUCGUGCAGGGAGAAUAUUGCUCGCUGCAGGCAGCCAGUUCUACCCCUGAGCAGCUUGGCACCUUGGAGCCUCUUCUCAGCCAGGUGAGCACUGGAAAGUACCAGCAGCCAGAAGAUCUUCCCUCUGCUGCUUCAGCUCAGCAAGAGCACUCUCGGUUCUGUUCUGAGUUUUCUUUUUUCACGCCCUGUCGUGGAAUAGGAAUGACAAAGCCACGUUCCAUUUGGGGCAUGCUGUGUAACCAGAGGGGCUGUGAGGAUGGAGGCAGGCAGCGCUCCAUUCCUCUGUCCUCUCUGACCAUCAGCCCCUGCCAGGACUUUGGGCAGAGAACUCCUUCCUCCCAAUCUCACUGAGCUCCUGCAGUUCUGCUCUGUAAAUUUCACUGCAUUUCUCUGCAGGAACAACCCUAUGCUCUCAACAACUCAGUCUAUGCCAGCUGACAUGGAGCUGUCAGACCCUUCCGCGAAUCCUUACUGUGACCCCAAUGCACUACAAGGCUGAACUGAUCUUUGUUUUCAAAAUGAUAGAAUUACAGAGUCUGGUUAAACCUUCCUGGGGGUGUGAGUUAAACUCAUUUCUUCUCAGCAAGAAACGAGUGUGCUGUGCAGGGGCUCCUCAUGGCACCACUCUGUCCUGUCUGAUCCUCAGCACAAGCACCCUUUCUCCCCUCAUCCCUAAUGCCUUGACACCCAAUUCCUCAAGGUUUCCCACCAGCCUGGCUCCUCAGGGGCCUCCUGUCCCCUUGGAGCCUCCUGUCACCCACUCCCUCCCACAUGGCCCUCGUGCCUUCCCACCGCCUUGUCCCGUCAGGGCUGCUGCAGCAGCUCAUCCCUUCACGGCCUCCCACCGCCCCAUCGUCCCCUCAGGGUCUCCCCCAGCCCAGCCAACCUGCCCGGCAGCGGCGCAGCCCCGACAGAGCUCCAGAGGAGCCCCAUCGAGAGGCACCUCGGAGCCCUCAGCAAUGCAGCCAGCCAAACACGGGCAGGAGGACACAGAUGGUGUUGCCUGGCUGGACAGGAGGGCUUGUGGCCAUCGCCAGGCACCGGUCUGGCGGAUCUCCGCAGCUCCGGCUCCUGCCCAGCCGCCCUGUCGCCAGCACAAAGGCUUCUGCAGAAGCACCUAAGGCUAAGGGGCUUCUGGCCAUUUUCCCUUCCUCACUGCAUGUCUGGGCAGCUUGCUGAGCACAAGGAUCCAUUUACCCCUCUUCCCCUGUGGCCUGCGGACACUGGGCACAAAAGAAAGGUCCUGGGAGUCUGGGUAUUAGAACACAUUCUGUCUUUAUACCCUAAAGAAGAAUGAAAAAGAAGGAAAAAAACAAUCUUAAAGAAAAGAGAAAUCCCCCCUGGCUCAGGUGGCCCCAGCAGACAGAGAGCCUCUCAAAUCAGCUCUCCUCAGAGCUCCAGCAGCACGGCUGGCCACGGCCCCACAGACAAGGACAUUUCUUGUGUGCCGUGCAAAACUGAUCUUGCAGCUUCUGCAAGAUGGAUCCCGGAGCUCUCUCCACAGCCCAGAGGACAAACCCGGAGGUGCUGCAAUCAGUAAAUUGUCCAUGUAAUGUUAAAUCCUUGACCGUGGGUGUUUUUGUUGGGCUGGAGACAAAGCUCACGCCACAAAAUAUUGACAAAUCGUAGGAGAAUUUUUCAUCCUUUUUGGUAAAACUGUCCAACGAUAUUUCUGCAGUGGUUCUGCUCUAUUGAUGGCUGCAACCGAAAAGGCAAAUCGAGGAGCAUCUUCUGGAUGCAGUAAAAUGUUGAAAAAUCAGUCUUUUCGUCGAUGACAACAAGAGGCCAGUCUCUUGGAAUCACUGAAAGAAGAAAGUCCAGGUUGCAGGGGUCCCAUGUCUUCUAUCACUUCGUUGAUCUUUCUCAAGUUGUGGAGAACUCUCCAGGAAUCAGAAGUUUUCUUAUGACUGACAAACACUGGGGAAUUCCAAGGGCUAUUUUUGGGCUUGAUGUGACCUUUUUGUAAUUGUCCAUUUAUUAAUUUGUUGAGGGCAUUUAGUUUUUUCUCUGCUAGAGGCCACUGACUCACCCAAACAGGGCUGUCAGUUUUCCAUGAUAACUUUAGAGUGGCAGGUGCCGCUGUGGCGCCCAUUAAAACUCACUUCUAUUUUGGUUCUCUGCUGGGACAGUACGUCUCUCCCCCAUACUGUGAUGGGUCUCUGCACCAUGAAGGGACAGAUGAUCGCUGUCUUCCCUUCAGGACCUGUAACAGUAAUCAUGAAUUCACUUUGCAGACACAGUGUGACUCCUCCAAUUCCUGUGAGAGCCCCCAUGGGCGCCACUAAAUUCCAGUUGCUCGGUCAAAACACAUGAGAAAUUACAGCGACAUCUGCGCCAGUGUCCAGCAUGCCUGUAAUGUGAACUGUUUUACCACAAUGUGUUAGACUGCAAGUCAGCUGUGGCCAUUCAUUGUUGACACGUUCUAGCCAAAGGACAUCAGGUGCCAGCUGAAACUCUCAAGUGGCAUUUUUUUGUAUACAGCUCGCUUAGUUAAAAGCAGAGUCUCUCGAUGUAUGUCUUGCUUAGCUAUAGUCAUUGGCAAUGCAGUAGCAAUAGCUAUUAGUGUUUUGGUUGAAUUUCCACUGGAGCACUAUAAGCAGGAGCUAAAGGCAUCAGCUCUUUGUUACAAUUUACUGAAACAAUUAAAAAGUCUUGUCUCUGUUGUGAA